rnacentral:rRNA from 1 species
GUGCAAAGGUAGCAUAAUCAUUUGCCUUUUAAUUGAAGGCUAGUAUGAAGGACACACAAGAAUAAAGCUGUCUCAUUUGGGGUUACUUUAAACUGAUUUUUAGGUGAAGAAGCCUGAAUUUCUAUAAAGGACAAGAAGACCCUAUAGAGCUUUAUCAAUAAAAGUUAUUAUACUUAUUUAUUGAUUUGGUUGGGACAACCAAAAGACAUAUAAACCUCUUUUUAAUUAAAUAUAACUCCUACCCACAACUGAACUAGAAUUUCAAGCUACCUUAGGGAUAACAGGCUAAUCCCACUAGAAAGAUCACAUUGACAGUGGGGGUUGGCACCUCGAUGUUGGCUUAGUGUAACCAUUAAGCGCAGCCGCUUAAUUGAGUUGGUUUGUUCAACCAUUAAAACACUACGUGAUCU